rnacentral:rRNA from 1 species
AUGGAGGAACACCGGUGGCGAAAGCGGCUCUCUGGCCUGUAACUGACACUGAGGCUCGAAAGCGUGGGGAGCAAACAGGAUUAGAUACCCUGGUAGUCCACGCCGUAAACGAUGAGUGCUAGAUGUAGGGAGCUAUAAGUUCUCUGUAUCGCAGCUAACGCAAUAAGCACUCCGCCUGGGGAGUACGACCGCAAGGUUGAAACUCAAAGGAAUUGACA